ACAAAUUGCUGCAAGAUUGUAUCGAAAUAACUCGCAGAUUCUUUAUUUGUAAAAUUAUCUUGACCACAUGGACAAAAAUAGCAGCAGACAUUAAACACAGGCACGACCGUUACUUCAGAGCUGGCGGCAUAAUCGUGUAAACGAAACGAAAUGUGUUUUCUUGUGCUCUUUUCUGUCAACUGCACUUAUUUCAUGAUUCAUAAUGACAAAGCGUUUUCAUUUCAUUUUGUUUGUUAGUGAACCAGCAUCUUUAAAAUCUUCCAUGCAUUAGACGUGGAAGCUUCAAAACUUUUAAUUUAUCACGUUCCACGUAAUGUUUAUUACCUGCAGUUUCCCGCAGUGCCUAGCCGCUGUCUAAUAGUCCUGCAGCCACCAGUAAAAGCACUUGCCAGUACCUGACGUAGAGGGACUGAGGAGAAGCCUGACAAGUUCCUCAUUAUGCAGUGUUCUCCAUUCUUCUGGUACUUCUUCUGUCGUAGGUUCAAAUGCUUAUCAACAGACUCGGAACGUGAUUUCGUGCUCAGUUUUUGUUAUGAAAGAGUAAGAAGUUAUAGUGAAGCCCAUAAAAAGGCUUUCCUCAUCUAUUCAUUGCCUAACCACUUGACUGAUUAAAGGAUAUUACCUGGAUAAAGUAAGACUUGGUUAAAAUACAGAGUCAGUUUUAUGUUAAAUUGCAUUAUCCACGUCAAAAUAUAUCAUAAAAUAAAAGCUAUUGAAUUUUAAAA